rnacentral:rRNA from 1 species
GACGAACCGUCCUAACGUUGUUCGGAAUCACUGGGCUUAAAGGGCGCGUAGGCGGGCUGCCAAGUCCGGGGUGAAAUCUUUCGGCUCAACCGGAAAAUAGCCUUGGAUACUUGCGGUCUCGAGGGAGGCAGGGGCCGUUGGAACUUCCGGUGGAGCGGUGAAAUGCGUUGAGAUCGGAAGGAACGCCGGUGGCGAAAGCGAACGGCUGGACCUCUUCUGACGAUGAGGCGCGAAAGACAGGGGAGCAAACGGG